GUGGGGAAUUUUGGACAAUGGGCGCAAGCCUGAUCCAGCAAUGCCGCGUGCAGGAAGAAGGCCUUCGGGUUGUAAACUGCUUUUGUACGGAACGAAACGGUCCUGGCUAAUACCUGGGGCUAAUGACGGUACCGUAAGAAUAAGCACCGGCUAACUACGUGCCAGCAGCCGCGGUAAUACGUAGGGUGCGAGCGUUAAUCGGAAUUACUGGGCGUAAAGCGUGCGCAGGCGGUGCUGUAAGACAGGCGUGAAAUCCCCGGGCUCAACCUGGGAAUUGCGCUUGUGACUGCAGUGCUGGAGUGCGGCAGAGGGGGAUGGAAUUCCGCGUGUAGCAGUGAAAUGCGUAGAUAUGCGGAGGAACACCGAUGGCGAAGGCAAUCCCCUGGGCCUGUACUGACGCUCAUGCACGAAAGCGUGGGGAGCAAACAGGAUUAGAUACCCUGGUAGUCC
rnacentral:rRNA from 1 species